UGAACGUCGCCAACAUGUUGCACAGAGGGCAUGCAGCCUGGUCCAUCCUCCAGUGACCAGUCCUCCUCCACGGUUAAUUACGCCAUGAUAAGGUUUAAAGCUUGCUGGACGUACUGCGACUGCGUUUAUGGCGCUGCGGCACACCUGCGGCGGUCGCAGGCUCCGCGGACUGCAAAGUGAUUCGAUGAUGACCGGUGGAUCUCCCUUGCAGCCUUGCAGGUCGACAAGAUCAGAAAAAUAAAAGGUAGAAGGUGCCCGUACGUGCCGGGUCUAGGAUUCCACAGGUUUGCUCGGGGCUGAGGAGGUCGAGCCAUUUCCUUUCCACCUUCAGUUUUCAGACGAUCGGCGACGCAAGUCAGCGACAGGACCACCAGAUGCCGGCGGACGCCCGAUCGAUAUAUGUAGCGCGGGUUUGCCGGAGAUCUUGUCCCUUCUGUUCUGAAUCUGGAUGGU
rnacentral:lncRNA from 1 species